rnacentral:snoRNA from 1 species
GUGAUGCUACACCAAAGCAGGGAAUCUCUUGUCGAGCGCCGGCGCGCGUCGCUGGCGCGGUGACAUGACACACUUUGAGUAACUGCAUCCAUUCAUUGAAUCGGCUGAC